rnacentral:rRNA from 1 species
AUUGAACGCUGGCGGCAUGCCUUACACAUGCAAGUCGAACGGUAACGGGCCUUCGGGUGCCGACGAGUGGCGAACGGGUGAGUAAUGCAUCGGAACGUACCUUUCAGUGGGGGAUAACGUAGCGAAAGUUACGCUAAUACCGCAUAUUCUGUGAGCAGGAAAGCAGGGGAUCGCAAGACCUUGCGCUGAUUGAGCGGCCGAUGUCAGAUUAGCUAGUUGGUGAGGUAAAGGCUCACCAAGGCGACGAUCUGUAGCGGGUCUGAGAGGAUGAUCCGCCACACUGGAACUGAGACACGGUCCAGACUCCUACGGGAGGCAGCAGUGGGGAAUUUGGACAAUGGGGGCAACCCUGAUCCAGCCAUGCCGCGUGAGUGAAGAAGGCCUUCGGGUUGUAAAGCUCUUUCGGUCCGGGAAGAAUCGUAUGGGUUAAUACCCUGUGCGGAUGACGGUACCGGCAUAAGAAGCACCGGCUAACUACGUGCCAGCAGCGACC